UACUAGCACACCAUUUGUUAGAGUGUGAACUGGUUAGAAUGUAGACGAGGGAUAGUUGGAGGCCACAGAAGACAAGCAGAGAGACCAAACUAUCUGUACAUUCAUCUAGAAAGGCUAGAUAAAAAUAUAUUAUAUAUAGAUAAGAUUGCAUUAGAUUUGUAAUGUUACCUUCAAGAAAGAAGGAAAUUUCAGGAUAUCAGAAAUGCAGAGGACACAAAGCCCUAACAGUAAUGGUACAUACUAAUAUUAUGGCGGCCAGGAUGAGGGGGAAGAGCAGUUGAUAGAUCCAGAAGUGUCCUUUAGGAUAGAGGUUUGUGUUUCAAUGCCCAGACAGAGACAGGAGACAAGGCUCUGGGCUCAUGGAAGGUGAAGAGUUGGAAUGAAGACCGUUGCAUUGACAAACCCCUCAAAGAACUGCAUGCACCUCAGUGAGAAGAGAAAAUAAAAGCUCCACCUGCUGGCCUGGAAGGUGAGCAGUCUCUGGAUAGAAGAUCCACAUGUACAGACAAUAUUUUUCAUGUCUCACAGUGACCAGCAUUUGUAAUAAUAGUGGAGAUGGAAAAACCUUAAGGGGUUUGUGUCCUCUUCCUCCCUCUUCAGGCUCAGCUAAUACCUCGAUCACCCACAGUGGAGACCCCUGAUCUCCAUUCCCCUGGACAUCUCAAGGGCACAAAUUCUCUGGACACACGGAGGGAAUAAUGCUGACAUUUUAUAGAAGCUGACCCACUGGAUAUCCUUCUCACCCAACUCCAUUAGGCUGGGGAGAGUAAGAGGCACGGUGACAAGGUGGCAAAGAUGUCACCAUGCCAUCCAAUCACGAGGUCUCCAGGAAACUGU
rnacentral:lncRNA from 10 species